AACGAACGCUGGUGGCGUGCUUAACACAUGCAAGUCGAACGAGAAAAUUUCCUUCGGGAGACUAGUAAAGUGGCGCAAGGGUGAGUAACACGUGAAUAAUCUGCCCUCGAGAUCGGGAUAACAUGGUGAAAACUAUGCUAAUACCGGAUAAGACCACAUUUCAAAAGAAAUGCGGGAAAAGAAGUCUCAAUCUUCACUCGAGGAUGAGUUCGCGCAACAUUAGCUUGUUGGUGGGAUAAAAGCUCACCAAGGCUACGAUGUUUAGCCGGCCUGAGAGGGUGAACGGCCACACUGGAACUGAGACACGGUCCAGACUCCUACGGGAGGCAGCAGUGGGGAAUUUUCCGCAAUGGACGAAAGUCUGACGGAGCAACGCCGCGUGAGGGAUG
rnacentral:rRNA from 1 species